GAUCCUGACUCAGGAUGAACGCUGGCGGCGUGCCUAAUACAUGCAAGUCGAGCGAACAGAUGAGGAGCUUGCUCCUCUGACGUUAGCGGCGGACGGGUGAGUAACACGUGGAUAACCUACCUAUAAGACUGGGAUAACUUCGGGAAACCGGAGCUAAUACCGGAUAAUAUAUUGAACCGCAUGGUUCAAUAGUGAAAGACGGUUUUGCUGUCACUUAUAGAUGGAUCCGCGCCGCAUUAG
rnacentral:rRNA from 1 species